rnacentral:rRNA from 1 species
AACGAACGCUGGCGGCAUGCCUAACACAUGCAAGUCGAACGAGACCUUCGGGUCUAGUGGCGCACGGGUGCGCAACGCGUGGGAAUCUGCCCUUGGGUCCGGAAUAACAGUUAGAAAUGACUGCUAAUACCGGAUGAUGACUUCGGUCCAAAGAUUUAUCGCCCAGGGAUGAGCCCGCGUCGGAUUAGCUAGUUGGUGAGGUAAAAGCUCACCAAGGCGACGAUCCGUAGCUGGUCUGAGAGGAUGAUCAGCCACACUGGGACUGAGACACGGCCCAGACUCCUACGGGAGGCAGCAGUGGGGAAUAUUGGACAAUGGGCGAAAGCCUGAUCCAGCAAUGCCGCGUGAGUGAUGAAGGCCUUAGGGUUGUAAAGCUCUUUUACCCGGGAUGAUAAUGACAGUACCGGGAGAAUAAGCCCCGGCUAACUCCGUGCCAGCCGCCGCCGUAAAAC